rnacentral:rRNA from 1 species
UACGUAGGGUGCAAGCGUUAUCCGGAAUUAUUGGGCGUAAAGAGCUCGUAGGCGGUCUGUCGCGUCGGCUGUGAAAACCUGGGGCUUAACUCCGGGCCUGCAGCCGAUACGGGCAGACUAGAGUUCGGCAGGGGAGACUGGAAUUCCUGGUGUAGCGGUGAAAUGCGCAGAUAUCAGGAGGAACACCGGUGGCGAAGGCAGCUCGCUGGGACGGUACUGACGCUGAGACGCGAAAGCGUGGGGAGCAAACAGG